rnacentral:tRNA from 1 species
GUGUGGCUCAGUCAAUAGAGCACUUGCCUAGAAUGCAUGAAGCCCUGGGUUUGAUCCUCAGCAC